rnacentral:rRNA from 1 species
UACGUAGGGCGCAAGCGUUGUCCGGAAUUAUUGGGCGUAAAGAGCUCGUAGGCGGCUUGUCACGUCGGAUGUGAAAGCCCCGGGGCUUAACCCCCGGGUCUGCAUUCGAUACGGGCAGGCUAGAGUUCGGUAGGGGAGAUCGGAAUUCCUGGUGUAGCGGUGGAAAUGACGCAGAUAUCAGGAGGAACACCGGUGGCGAAGGCGGAUCUCUGGGCCGAUACUGACGCUGAGGAGCGAAAGCGUGGGGAGCGAACAGG